rnacentral:misc_RNA from 1 species
ACGGACGUAAAUUCUUAACUAAAGGCGAUAAAUGUAAAGUAUCUAUUCGUUUCAGAGGGCGUGCCAUUACGCAUAAGGAAAUUGGUCAACGUGUGCUAGAAAAAUAUGCAGAUGAAUGUAAAGAUAUAGCAACAGUUGAACAAAAACCUAAAAUGGACGGGCGUCAAAUGUUUAUCAUGUUAGCGCCAACAGCUGAAAAAUAAUUAAAGCUAUUACAGGAGGACUUA